GCUUCCUUAGCUCAGUCGGUAGAGCGUUUCACUCGUAAUGAAAAGGUCGCGAGUUCGAUUCUCGCAGGAAGCU
rnacentral:tRNA from 2 species